UACGAAGGGGGCUAGCGUUGUUCGGAUUUACUGGGCGUAAAGCGCACGUAGGCGGAUCGUUAAGUCGGGGGUGAAAUCCUGGAGCUCAACUCCAGAACUGCCUUCGAUACUGGCGAUCUUGAGUCCGGAAGAGGUGAGUGGAACUCCUAGUGUAGAGGUGAAAUUCGUAGAUAUUCGCAAGAACACCAGUGGCGAAGGCGGCUCACUGGCCCGGAACUGACGCUGAGACGCGAAAGCGUGGGGAGCAAACAGG
rnacentral:rRNA from 1 species